UAAGGCUGGGCUGUGAUGGGGAGGGAAAAUUUACAGUACCGAAGGUCAUGAUCUCACACUGCCAAGAAAAGCCUCUAGCCAGGAGAAGGUGCCCGUACCGCAAACCGACACAGGUAGGCGAGAAGAGAAUUCUAAGGCGCGCGGAAGAACUCUCGUUAAGGAACUCGGCAAAAUGACCCCGUAACUUUGGGAGAAGGGGUGCCCCGGUAGUGUGAAUAGCACGAGGGGGCCGCAGUGAAAAGGCCCAAGCGACUGUUUAGCAAAAACACAGGUCUGUGCGAAGCCGUAAGGCGAAGUAUACGGGCUGACGCCUGCCCGGUGCUGGAAGGUUAAGGGGAGCGGUUAGGGGUAACCCGAAGCUGUGAACCGAAGCCCCAGUAAACGGCGGCCGUAACUAUAACGGUCCUAAGGUAGCGAAAUUCCUUGUCAGGUAAAUUCUGACCCGCACGAAUGGCGUAACGACUUGGGCGCUGUCUCAACGAGAGAUCCGGUGAAAUUUUAAUACCUGUGAAGAUGCAGGUUACCCGCGACAAGACGGAAAGACCCCAUGGAGCUUUACUACAGCUUGAUAUUGAACUUUGAUGCGAUUUGUACAGGAUAGGUGGGAGCCUAGGAAUCCGGAGCGCCAGCUUCGGUGGAGGCAUCGUUGGGAUACCACCCUGAUCGUAUCGAAGUUCUAACCUAGGACCGUGAUCCGGUUCGGGGACAGUGUCAGGUGGGUAGUUUGACUGGGGCGGUCGCCUCCUAAAGAGUAACGGAGGCGCCCCAAGGUUCCCUCAGAAUGGUUGGAAAUCAUUCGUAGAGUGCAAAGGCAAAAGGGAGCUUGACUGCGAGACUGACAAGUCGAGCAGGGACGAAAGUCGGGCUUAGUGAUCCGGUGGUACCGCAUGGAAGGGCCAUCGCUCAACGGAUAAAAGCUACCCUGGGGAUAACAGGCUUAUCUCCCCCAAGAGUCCACAUCGACGGGGAGGUUUGGCACCUCGAUGUCGGCUCAUCGCAUCCUGGGGCUGAAGUAGGUCCCAAGGGUUGGGCUGUUCGCCCAUUAAAGCGGUACGCGAGCUGGGUUCAGAACGUCGUGAGACAGUUCGGUCCCUAUCUGUCGUGGGCGUAGGAAAUUUGAGAGGAGCUGUCCUUAGUACGAGAGGACCGGGAUGGACGCACCGCUGGUGCACCAGUUGUUCCGCCAGGAGCAUAGCUGGGUAGCUACGUGCGGAUGGGAUAAACGCUGAAAGCAUCUAAGCGUGAAGCCCUCCUCAAGAUGAGAUUUCCCAAUU
rnacentral:rRNA from 1 species